UGGGGAAUAUUGGGCAAUGGGGGGAACCCUGACCCAGCAACGCCGCGUGAAGGAAGAAGGUUUUCGGAUUGUAAACCUCUGUCCUUGGUGAAGAAAGAGAUGACGGUAGCCAAGGAGGAAGCCACGGCUAACUACGUGCCAGCAGCCGCGGUAAUACGUAGGUGGCAAGCGUUGUCCGGAAUUACUGGGUGUAAAGGGCGUGUAGGCGGGGCGGCAAGUCAGAUGUGAAAUACCGUGGCUUAACUGCGGGGGUGCAUCUGAAACUGCUGCUCUUGAGUGUCGGAGAGGAAAGUGGAAUUCCCAGUGUAGCGGUGAAAUGCGUAGAGAUUGGGAGGAACACCAGUGGCGAAGGCGGCUUUCUGGACGAUAACUGACGCUGAGGCGCGAAAGCGUGGGUAGCAAACAGG
rnacentral:rRNA from 2 species